rnacentral:rRNA from 1 species
CUAACGCGUUAAGUAUCCCGCCUGGGGAGUACGUUCGCAAGAAUGAAACUCAAAGGAAUUGACGGGAGCCCGCACAAGCGAUGGAGCAUGUGGUUUUAUUCGAUGAAAAGCGAAGAACCUUACCAGGGCUUGACAUGCCACAAAUCCUCUUGAAAGAGAGAGGUGCCCUCGGGAACGCGGACAUAGGUGGUGCAU